CACCUCGCUCCAUCCCCCACCCCCAACCUCCGCCCUUGGGUUGGUUUCGCCGACGACCGCAGAGCUUCAUCGAGGUGAUACGACGCCGUUCUACCGUCGUGGGACGGUAUAUAUUUGGAUAUCUUCGUCGGAUCCCUUUCAUUUAUUAAGAAAAAAAUUCAAAAUACCUCUCUCUGCUUCUUCUUAAAAGAAGUUCCUUUGAUUUUCUCCUUAGUGAUUUGAUCGGAAUUUAGUUAAUUCAGUAGCUUGAAAGUCUUUGAAUUUCCACUGAUUGAAGUUUGCUACGAUUUCGAAUUUUGAAUUGGUUAG
rnacentral:misc_RNA from 1 species